ACCCUAUGAAUUUUUAAAAUUUUUAAUAAUAGUAAUUUAUUAUUAUUAAAAAUUUUAGCUGGGGCGGCUAAAAAAUAUAAUUAACUUUUUAAGAAUAAAACGAUCCACUAAUAAUGAUUACAUGUUAAAUA
rnacentral:rRNA from 1 species